rnacentral:lncRNA from 1 species
AAAAAAAAAAAAGACCAACAUGCGUUAUUAUUUUCAAGAUAUCCUGCUGCUGUGUAGAAAGCUUUUUUUCCUCAUAUUUAAUCUCAAUGAAACCAUUAUAUCCUAUUGAAUUAUUUUAGAAAAAAAUAAAUUAGUAUUUUUUUUUUCUGAAUAGGAUGUUCGUUUUAUAUAAUUUUAAUAUGAAUAUAAUUCAAAAAAUAAAAAAAAAAAAAUCUCAGAACGACGUCAACAAUUGGAAGAAAUUAUUCCAAACUUCACAAAAAUACUGAGCA